rnacentral:tRNA from 1 species
GCCUUCGUGGCACAAAGAUUAAGUGCUUGGUUGCUAACCAAAAGGUUGGUGGUUCGAACCCACCCAACAGCU